CCUACGGGGUGCACCAGUGAGGAAUAUUGGACAAUGGGUGGAAGCCUGAUCCAGCCAUCCCGCGUGCAGGAAGACGGCCCUAUGGGUUGUAAACUGCUUUUAUCUGGGGAUAAACCUACUUACGUGUAAGUAGCUGAAGGUACCAGAAGAAUAAGCACCGGCUAACUCCGUGCCAGCUGCCGCGGUAAUACGGAGGGUGCAAGCGUUAUCCGGAUUUAUUGGGUUUAAAGGGUCCGUAGGCGGACUAGUAGUCAGUGGUGAAAACCGACAGCUUAACUGUCGAACUGCCAUUGAUACUACUAGUCUUGAGUAAGGUUGAAGUGGCUGGAAUAAGUAGUGUAGCGGUGAAAUGCAUAGAUAUUACUUAGAACACCAAUUGCGAAGGCAGGUCACUAAGUCUUAACUGACGCUGAUGGACGAAAGCGUGGGGAGCGAACAGGAUUAGAUACCCUCGUAGUC
rnacentral:rRNA from 1 species